GCGCCGGCGACCACAGAGACCGCGGUGGAUAGAGAGGAAGGCGCGGGAGACACCGCCUCUCCCGGAAGCGACCGCCGUCUCUUAGAAGUACCAGAGAGUGGACUCGGGUGGCCCGGCGGCUACAGCGCCCCCAUCUUGAUUUGUGAGGCUUCCCUUUUGACAAUAGAUGGAGUUUCGCUGUUGUUACCCAGACUGGAGUGCCUGGCACGAUCUCGGCUCACCGCAACCUCCGCCUCCUGGGAUCAAGCAAUUCUACUGCCUCAGCCUCCUGAGUAGCUGGGACUACAGGCGUGCACCACCAUGCCCAACUAAUUUUUUUUGUAAUUUCAGUAGAGACGGGGUUUCACCUUGUUGACCAGGAUGGUCUCGAUCUUUUGACCUCGUGAUCCACCAUCCACCUCGGCCUCCCAAAGUGCUGGGAUUACAAACGUGAGCCACCUUGCCCGGCAGAGACGACGUUCACCAUGUUGCCCGGGCAGUUCUCAAACUUGUCGGCUGAAGUGAUCUGCCUUCCUCACCCUCCCUGAGUGCUGGGAUUACAGGCAUGUACCACCAUGCCUGGCCUGUGUUUUGUUUUUUAAAAUGUUACCUAUACAAUAAAAUCUUUUUUUUUUUUAUUGCAUUUUAGGUUUGGGGGUACAUGUGAAGAACAUGCAAGAUUGUUGCAUAAGUACACACACGGCAGCGUAAUUUGCUGCCUUCCUCCCCUUCAUCUAUAUCUGGCAUUUCUCCCCAUGCUCUCUCUCCCCAACUCCCCACCCCCUGCUGUCCCUCCACUAUUUUCCCCCAACAGACCCCAGUGUGUGAUGCUCCCCUCCCUGUGUCCAUGUGUUCUCAUUGUUCAACACCCGCCUAUGAGUGAGAACAUGUGGUGUUUGAUUUUCUGUUCUUGUGUCAGUUUGCUGAGAAUGAUGGUUUCCAGGUUCAUCCAUGUCCCUGCAAAGGACACGAACUCAUCGUUUUUGAUGGCCGCAUAAUAUUCCAUGGUGUAUAUGUGCCACAUUUUCCAUGUCCAGUCUAUCAUCAAUGGGCAUUUGGGUUGGUUCCAGGUCUUUGCUAUUGUAAACAGUGCUGCAAUGAACAUUCGUGUGCAUGUGUCCUUAUAGUAGAAUGAUUUAUAAUCCUUUGGAUAUAUACCCAGUAAUGGGAUUGCUGGGUCAAAUGGAAUUUCUAUUUCUAGGUCCUGGAGGAAUCGCCACACUGUCUUCCACAAUGGUUGAACUAAUUUACACUCCCACCAACAGUGUAAAAGUGUUCCUAUUUCUCCACAUCCUCUCCAGCAUCUGUUGUCUCCAGAUUUUUAAAUGAUCGCCAUUGUAACUGGCGACAAUAAAAUCUUUUCAGAGGUUCUACCCUAAAACAGAAGCAAUCAUUUUAUCUUCUGGUCCUCUCAACCAACAGCAUUGGACCUGCCUAUUUCCCUUGCUAGCCAAGGAGCUUGCCUAGUUAACCUCCAAUACCCAGUCCAGUGCCUGGCACAUAGAAGGUAUUCACUAAACACUUCUGGGAUGAAUGAAGAUACUCCUCUGACCUAGGUUUUGCUGUAUAUAAAAUCAGAAUGAUAAAGUGACCCACAUCUCACGGCCAUCCUAAACAAUUCCUGAGCAAAAAAAAAAAAAAAAAAGCAAUUCCUGAACAAUGUGAAUGUUCUUAAAAAACAUGAAACUGUGUAAAAAGACUCAAGAAUAGCUGCUUAAUCUAAAAUUUAUCCUGUGGGCUAACCAGGUCAAAAUGCCUGUAGUAUAGCUGGUUCAAAGGAUGGUGGCAUCUUCCCUAUGUGAGAACAGCCUAUUAAAUUUGUGAGCAGGAGGGACAGAGUUGUCAGCUGAGCAGAGCCCUGCUGUUGAGUCCUCUAGGUCUGAAACCAUCUUGGCCUGUUCCACCCCGGAAAUAAAUCAUUUUGGAAAGAUUGUGUCCCCUGAGCUGCAAGUCUGUUAAAAAGUUGGAUCCUUGGCUGGGCGUGGUGACUCAUGCCUGUAUUCCUGGCACUUUGGGAGGCUGAGAUGGGAGGUUUGCUUGAGCUCAGGAGUUGGAGACCAGCCUAGGCAACAUGGCAAGAUCUCAUCUCUACAAAACAAAAAAACAAAAACAGAAUUAGCUAGGUAUAGUGGUGCAAGCCUAUAGUCUCAGCUACUUGGGAGGCUAAGGUGGAAGGCUCACUUGAGCCCAGGAGGUCAAGGUUGCAGUAAGCUGAGAUCGUGCCACUGCACUCCAACCUGGGUAACAGAGUGAGACCCUAUCUCAAAACAAAAAACAGUUGGAGCCUUUAUAUUAGCUAUCACCCAACGAUUACCCAACCAUAGAGUAAUCUUAGAAUAUUGAAGGGGCAGAAAGGUGUAAUAACUUUCCUUCUUAUCAUAAGGGUCAGGGCCAACACUCCUAUAACAAAAGACAGGUUAACAACAGAAAAGCGGCUGGGCACAGUGGCUCAAGCCUGUCAUCCUAGCACAUUAGGAGGCUGAGGCAGGCAGAUCACUUGAGGUCAGGAGUUCAAGACCAGCCUGGCCAACGUGGUGAAACCUUGUCUCUACUAAAAAUACAAAAUGUAGUCAGGUGUGGUGCUGGGCACCUGUAAUCCCAGUUACUUGGGAAGCUGAGGCAGGAGAAUUGCUUGAACUUGGCAGAUGGAGGUUGCAGUGAGCCAAGAUCACGCCAUCACACUGGGCGACAGAGUGA